UACGUAGGGGGCAAGCGUUGUCCGGAUUUAUUGGGCGUAAAGAGCGUGUAGGCGGCCAGACAGGUCCGUUGUGAAAACUCGAGGCUCAACCUCGAGAUGUCGAUGGAAACCGUCUGGCUAGAGUCCGGAAGAGGAGUGUGGAAUUCCUGGUGUAGCGGUGAAAUGCGCAGAUAUCAGGAAGAACACCGAUGGCGAAGGCAGCACUCUGGGACGGUACUGACGCUGAGACGCGAAAGCGUGGGGAGCGAACAGG
rnacentral:rRNA from 1 species